rnacentral:lncRNA from 1 species
CAAGGAUCAACACAGGCUUCAAACAAAACGAAACAAGACAAAAAAAAUUUAUAGACUUUUAUAUUUUUGUACAGGUAUUUCGAAACUAGCUUCUUCAAACUUAUAUGUGACUUAUUCUUGUUAAUUCAGUAGUUUCUAUGAUUGAGGAAUAUUAACACACAGUUCUUAUUUGCUCUUCUGCUAAUAAGACUUGGCUUUGUAGUCAGUGUUAACGUACAGAUUAAAAGCUUUAGCCUUUGAUGAGAAAGUCCUUUAUCUCAAGGCAAGAUCAUUCUCUGGUUUCAUGGACCCCCCUCCUUUUCCUCCCUGUUCUUUCUCUCCCUAUUUAAAGAUGACAAAACACUGUUUACUGAAAAUAGAAAUACCAAAUAUUUUCAAAUGUAGCUGCUGAAAAAAAAGAAAUGCAAAAGUCCAUGAAGGCUUUUUCCCCGCUCCCUUUGGGGAAUUUCUCCACUUCAUUUCUAGUUUGUCUGAGUUUGUUUGUACUGUGAUUCCUUUUUGUUUAUAAGUAGAUUAUUUUUAUAUCCAAGCUUGUACUAUAAAAAAAGAAAAGUCUGGAUCGGUAAUAGUGCAGUAAGAGUGGCCGAUGAAGGUGGCACUCCUGCCACAUACUUGUGAGCGUGCACACAGCUUACUUUGUGUCUAAAUAUUUUGGAAGACUCAAAAGGGAGGAGGAGGCCAAAAUACCACUACUGAGCUGUACAGAAAGUCUUUCCUACAAGAGACUAAACAAAUACCCAGGGCAACUUAGGCAAAACUUUGUAAAUCCACUUAAGACUUGCAAAAUCUGAGUGGAAUGUGGGUGGUUUUGUUUCAGGUGUUUUUGUUGUUGUUGUUGUUGUUAAGGUGAGGUGAGAGUUGGCUGCUGCUUUACACAGUGGGUCAGAUGUAUUCCUGUUGUAAUUAUUGCUGAUGUUGCAGUUAUUCCGGAGAUACAUGCGGCCCAUAAAACCCCGACAAAGAAUGUCUCUUGUGAAGUUAAGGCCAUGUCUGUACCAAGAUUUUGAAUACUGUUGUUCCUUUCCGAUGAAUGGUGUUGCCGCGCUGCUCAGAUCCGAGAGCUCCUUACGCUACAUCCAAACUGUGUAGGCAAGGUAGCAUUUCUAAACGUUAAGAGAGCAGGUUUGCAAUCAGGUAAAAACUUCUGUGACAAAUUAAACUGACAAGGUAUUAAAAAAGCCCCUUUUUGACUGCUCAGAAGUACUGGGCAAAUACAACUUUAUAGCUUUUUAUUUUUGUCUGAAAACCAGAAUAUGAUUUUGGUCUAGCAUUUCAAAGUAGCCUUCGAAUCUUUAGUGAAUUCCAUACCCUCGCAUUUCGUGUUUUCUAUGUAUUAUUUUAAGUUAAAAGCUUUUAAAUAGUUGAGCUUUUUAAUGUUGACACUUUAUUUUGUAACUAUUUAUAUGUAUGUAUAUCUUAGAAAAGCACUUUGUUUAAAAAACAAGAAAACACACAAAAAAAAAAAGGAGAAAAAAGAAAAAAAAGAA